UCUUAUCAUUUGCGACGGAAAAUUUUUGCCGUAGUAACUUUAUAAUGAAUUGCUACGCUUUUUCCUCUUGCCGUCGCAAAACUUGUUUCUAUUUCCCUCACUAACAUCCCGAUCUGCAGCCCUAAGUAACCUCUCUCACCCAACGCUCUGUCUCUAUCACGCCCAAACUCUCUGUCUCUCUUCUCGCCCAAGCUCGCCCAUGCCAAGCGCUCUCGCUCUCUAUCUCUAUCACGCCCAAACUCUCUCUCUGUCUCUCUUCUCACCCAAGCUCGCCCAUGCCAAGCGCUCUCUCUCUCUCUAUCUCUCUUGCCCAAGCUCCGCAGCGCCUUGAACAAGACAUAGUCGAGGUCCGAAAGAAUCGUCAGAGAGAAUAAGCUUUCGGGAAGAGAGUGGCGCCAGAUUCUUGAGAGCUUGCAUGGAAAGGCAGCUUCAUAAUAAAUAUAUUUUGUGCACAAACAGUAAAGGGUAGAAGAAGCUGUUUCAUAUAUUUUUCCCUUCUUAAAGGUAACGAGUGUUGGAAUCAAUACUGAAUGGGGAUUGUUGAUGGCAAGUAUAUCUCUGAGGAUACCUAUAAAGAAACUCUUCUACAUGUUCUUGCAUUUUUUCUAGAAUGUUGUUAUUUAAUUUUGGAAAAUCACUUACAGCUGAUUGCUAUCUAUUUGUGGUCUGAAAGUUAUCUAUACGGCUAGAGCUCUACUCUAGUAAUAUUCAUAUUGUUAUCUCUCUGCUGCGUACAAGUGAUUAAUUAUGAUGGAUGUAGGUAGGCUUUUACUAUUCGUCACAAUUGCUUGCAUCUGUUAUUCUAUGGUAAAUUAAAUAUAAAGCCUAAGGUCUAUGAUUUUAGUGCAGACAAGGUUGACAUGGAAACUAAAACCGAAAGCGAAGAAGGCAUGGUUCCAACUUCCUAUAUUAACAUUAGGUUUCUUGUGUUUUUUGUGCUGUGCUUAAUCAUGUUUUCUGUAAUGGUUUGCAAGCUCAUUUUCUUCACUGUUGCUUGAAGUAAAUGAUCUCUUACCAUUCCUGUAAGAGUCUGAUAGAUUGUUCUUUGUUAUGCAGAUUUGUGUUCUUUCCAAUUUCUGACCUGAAACUGUUGAGGAAGCUAGCAAAUGAAGGCAUUACAGUGUUGGGGUUGCCUUGACUAGUCUUUGUUUUUUUUUUGGAUUUGUGGUUUUUGGUUGGUGUAAGAAUGAUAGAUAUUGUAUUUUGAUAUUUGUCAAUUUAUAAUAUUUGUGGAACAUGGUA